AGAGAAAUAGUUCAGUGGUAGAGUGCCUGCUUAGCAUGCAGGAGCUCCUGGGUUCAAUCCCCAGUACCUCCA
rnacentral:tRNA from 1 species